CUACUGCUCUGUUCUCCCUGUUUCUCUUGAUCACAAAGGAGGUUUUCCCAGGAUGAGGCUCAACCAUUACACACCGGGUGUGCUAACCCCUGCAAUUUCCCAAAUGCGGGGAAACUUGACUGAAUUAUUUGUGAUAGUGGGGGACUGCGUUUGUGCUUGCCCAUC